rnacentral:rRNA from 1 species
AGAGUUUGAUCCUGGCUCAGGAUGAACGCUAGCGACAGGCUUAACACAUGCAAGUCGAGGGGCAGCGGGGGUAGCAAUACCCGCCGGCGACCGGCGCACGGUGAGUAACGCGUAUGCAACUUACCUAUCAGAGGGGGAUAACCCGGCGAAAGUCGGACUAAUACCGCAUGAAGCAGGGCCCCGCAUGGGGAUAUUUGCUAAAGAUUCAUCGCUGAUAGAUAGGCAUGCGUUCCAUUAGGCAGUUGGCGGGGUAACGGCCACCAAGCCGACGAUGGAUAGGGGUUCUGAGAGGAAGGUCCCCACAUUGGUACUGAGACACGGACCAAACUCCUACGGGAGGCA